AGAGUUUGAUCAUGGCUCAGAGCGAACGUUAGCGGCAGGCCUAACACAUGCAAGUCGCACGAGAAUUGGUCUUCGGACCAUAGUAAAGUGGCGGACGGGUGAGUAACACGUGGAUAAUCUGCCCUUCGGCGGGGGACAACAGUCCGAAAGGAUUGCUAAUACCGCAUACGUCAGCGAGGUCUUCGGAUCUUGUUGGGAAAGAUGGCCUCUUCAUGAAAGCUAUCACCGAAGGAUGAGUCCGCGGCCCAUCAGCUAGUUGGCGGUGUAAUAGACCACCAAGGCUAAGACGGGUAGCUGGUCUGAGAGGAUGAUCAGCCACACUGGAACUGAGACACGGUCCAGACUCCUACGGGAGGCAGCAGUGGGGAAUAUUGGGCAAUGGGCGCAAGCCUGACCCAGCCAUGCCGCGUGAGUGAUGAAGGCCUUCGGGUCGUAAAGCUCUGUGGGGAGGGAAGAAACUCCGUAUGGCUAACAUCCAUACGGUUGACGGUACCUCCUUAGCAAGCACCGGCUAACUCCCUGCCAGCAGCCGCGGUA
rnacentral:rRNA from 1 species